CGUUCUAUGGCCAAACUGGUAAAGGCCUUGCCGAUUACAGGCGAAGACGCGGGUUCGAGUCCCGCUGGAACUG
rnacentral:tRNA from 1 species